rnacentral:rRNA from 1 species
GACGAACGCUGGCGGCGUGCUUAACACAUGCAAGUCGAACGGAAAGGCCUGCUUUCCCUUGUGGAUUGCGGGUACUCGAGUGGCGAACGGGUGAGUAACACGUGAGUUAUCUGCCCCCAACUUGGGUAUAAGCCUGGGAAACUGGGUCUAAUUCCCGAUAGGACUGCAGGGUGGUGCCUGUGGUGGAAAACGAUUUUCUAGUGGUUGGGGAUGAGCUCGCGGCCUAUCAGCUUGUUGGUGGGGUAAUGGCCUACCAAGGCGGCGACGGGUAGCCGGCCUGGGAGGGUGGACGGCCACAUUGGGACUGAGAUACGGCCCAGACUCCUACGGGAGGCAGCAGUGGGGAAUAUUGCACAAUGGGCGGAAGCCUGAUGCAGCGACGCCGCGUGGGGGAUGACGGCCUUCGGGUUGUAAACUCCUUUCGACCGCGAGGAAGCCACCUGGUUGGAAGGGUGGUGACGGUAGUGGUAGAAGAAGCACCGGCUAACUACGUG